GACGAACGCUGGCGGCGUGCUUAACACAUGCAAGUCGAACGAUGAAGCUGGAGCUUGCUCCGGUGGAUUAGUGGCGAACGGGUGAGUAACACGUGAGCAAUCUGCCCUUGACUCUGGGAUAACUGCGGGAAACUGUAGCUAAUACCGGAUAUGAGGCUCGAAGGCAUCUUCGGGUCUGGAAAGAAUUUCGGUCAAGGAUGAGCUCGCGGCCUAUCAGCUUGUUGGUGAGGUCAUGGCUCGCCAAGGUGACGACGGGUAGCCGGCCUGAGAGGGUGACCGGCCACACUGGGACUGAGACACGGCCCAGACUCCUACGGGAGGCAGCAGUGGGGAAUAUUGCACAAUGGCGAAAGCCUGAUGCAGCAACGCCGCGUGAGGGAUGAAGGCCUUCGGGUUGUAAACCUCUUUUAGCAGGGAAGAAGCGAAAGUGACGGUACCUGCAGAAAAAGCACCGGCUAACUACGUGCCAGCCGCCGCGGUAA
rnacentral:rRNA from 1 species